UGGUGGUGCUUAAAAUGACAGCAACAACGACCACAGAGCCCACUACUGACAGCACCACGGUAGAAAUGCUGACUCCGGAAUUCGGGCGACUGUCAUCAGGAUGCAGAGGAUCUUCAUCUGCCUGCGGAACAAACAAAGCCAGGUGGACUGGGAGUGCCUUGAGAUUCGGUCUGGUUUAACUCUGGUCCCAAGUUCCUGGCACAGCAUCUGCAGAGCAAGACCUCAAGAGAAAUUGUUGUUGUCAGCCUGUACACUUACGCAUUGCUACCAGUGGCAUAGAAUAAGUCAUGUUUUACCUGUUACGAUGCUCAUCUCUUUGACUGCUUUAUCAGCAUUUUCUCCCAGAGCAAUAAAAUGAAUGAUGGCCCCACUAUUUGUCACCUCUUCAACACAAGUCUUUGCAGAGCUAUCUUCCCCAUCGGUCAGCAGGACGAUUUCAGAUCCAUCUAUUUGGGAGUAAAGGCUUCUAAUUACCUACAAAUAUAAUUAGAGCAUUAUUACAGGUGUUCCUAGAUCAGACAGACUUAUGAAAGAUUAGGAAAAAAUGGACAUAGAAAAUAAAAUGUGCAGAAAAGAAGAGACGGCUUUUUUAAAAUUAUAGAAUCAUAGAAUCUGCAGUCAAUCACCACCAAGGGAACUUAAACAUGGCUUUUUAUUUUCUGUUUGCUUACUGUAAGGAAUGUCUGCUCAGAUGAAUUUUUGGGGGAGCAGGGCUGUGGAAAAUCCUAUUUGAGUUAAAUGACAAUGACAUCUCAGUCUGGGGAACUCAGGGCACUAAAAUAUAAUGGCAGAACGUGGCAUCAAAUAUUUUUCUUUCUUUGACCAGAGUGCCCCUUGACAAGCCUUCAGUAUAUAAAGUCUGUUGCAUAUACAGCUAGAUGCAUUGAGUGCACUUCAAAAAUAAAAUAAAAUAAAAUAAAACAA